AUACAUCCUGUAUAAAUUAUCCCUCUAUAUUUAUAUUUUUUAAGACUAAGAAAGAUGUAAGACUAAUGUUCUGUGCUGUAUGUUUUUAAUGAAAAACAAACAAAAAAAAGUUUGACUGUAGUUGUCCAGGCAAAAACUUUAACUCAACUGACCUAUUCCACUGGGAAAUUGUACUAGGAAGGUGUAACCUGCAGUUUUACUUAAUAAGCACAAUACAAAGGCAAGCAGGAGGUUUGAUGAUCAACACGGAAUUGUCAUAGAAUAAGGCAGUAAGCUCCCAAGAGUGUCUGACCCUGCAUCUGAAGUCCUGUUAUGAACUUGGCUCCGAGACUGGGUGGGCUGGCUGACUCGGCCUCCUCCUUCCACUUCCCGGGCUAUGCCUUCCCUGCUCCUUGCACCGCGGGGCUCUGUGUGCACAGGGUUUCCACCGCAGGACCCCCUGCUGCAGCUUGACCACACAGCAGGAGAUGCUCAGGCCCCUCUGGGUCCUGCUGAGCAUGGGCACCUGUCACCCUUGACCCCAGUUAUGUGCAGGGAUUCAUGUAAGGGCAAAUAUGGCACAAAAUUAACAUCAUGCAUCAAGCUCUUGACUGGCAGAUGUGGCUCAUGAUCAAAUGAGGAUGUGGGGAAGAGAGCAGAGGCAAAUUCUUAGCCAGUGGCUUGAUCACAGGCUGCUUGUAACAGCUGCAGGUGAAACAGCCCCACACCUACCCUUUGUCUUCAAUAGAGGGAAAAACGUGUCUCAGAGAUGCGGGAAGGGCAGAUGUACACAAGUGUGCAGAGUUCAGCCCUGGACCCGCUCACUGGCCGGUCCUCCUGGGUCUGGGUGGGCUCAGGAGGAGGUUCCACCCCUGGAGUGAGGGACGGUGAACGGCCUUGCUGCCCCACAAAGCUUCCCAGAGGCUUAGAGGACAGGGUGAGUGCCCCAGGCCACAGCUUUUUGUCCUGAGUCUCUUCCUUCCAGAACAAAUGCUGUCAUUUUUUGAUAGAUCCUUUGGUGUUGGGAAGUUGGCAAUGUUUAUGAUUUUUAAAAAAUAUUGGGGCUGAGAUGGCCCUGUUGUCUUUUCAAAAUAGUUGGAUGAUUCCGUCAUUGGUUGGUACCUCCUCUAGUGUCACCCUGGUCUCGGUGAGGUCCUGUUAGCACGUCAUCCCUGGCCAGUUGAACUGAAUGAUUCUCUGUUCAUCACCGAGAGCUGGGUCAUGUAAAACUAGAUGCUUGGAGAGGAAUUAAGAGGACACUUAAGUAUAUCUGGUGAGUCAUGUUUUGUGAAGUUCUAAUGCUGAAUAUGUGAACUCCACUUCUGCUUUGGGGACGUGUGGAUGAGGAUGGAUUGGGUAAGUCCCAAACUUCAUACAAGCAGCCUUCUUUGGAGGUUUUGUCCUUGAAGGGUCUAAGGAAUCCAAGCUGAUGGCUGAGUUAGUCUUCUAGAAUGUUCUGUGGUGAACUGGAACUCUGGAGAGCCUGGCACUAAUGUAGACCACCUUGCCCUUCCUACGCUGUUGAUUUCAGGCACAGCCUGGACACCCCGCUCCAUGUCAUCCAGUGGCAGUGGCACUGACAAAGUGGCUGGUAGCAGCUGCUCAGCCUCCUGCCUUGUGACCACGUAGGCUUUGGGGUAGCUCUUGUCUGUCCCCUGGGAAGCUGUCCCCAGUACACACGUAUUCUGUUCUGAUCCUCCUGUGUGAGCAUCUACUAUACAUAAAAAGGUUGUGAAAUUAUCUUCUUUGAACAUUCUUUCAUCUCUUACUUGUGAAAGGCCAGAAUCUUUAUUUUCAGCGGCACUAGCCCAAUAGAAAACCAAAGCCAAGAACCAUUUUGUUUUAUUUUCCUCUUGGGGGAGUAAGAAGUCCAUGGUUCUAGUAGCCCUCUUAGCUGAAGUCAGUGUUGGUUUAGUGGAUGAUAGACAGCAUAUAUUUUUUUCCUGCAGGGAAAUCAAUUUAUAAAAUCCAGAGUAUUGGGAUCAAAUCUUUUUACAUUUCGCUAUGAAUUUAAAAUCCGUGAUUUGGAUUUCAGAUGACAAGAUUGGUUACACGGAAAUAAUGCCCAGUCAAACCCCCAUUCCCUUUUAGCAACGACAUCUCAAAGCAGAUCUGAGAUGAGGCGAACGACAGGGAUCUUCUGAUCUCCGUCCCCUUCAUCUGUAAGCUCCGCAGUGUACCCACGGGUCGUCCAUCUCUUCUGCCAUAUUCCUUCCAAGCAAUGUGAUGGGGCGUUCCCAGGAGCCUCACUCCCACGUGGGCAACGGAGGCUUGCUCCAGGCCAUGCAGCCAGCUGCCAGCAGAGCUAUGCUGCUCAUCCGGUGUUUCCAGAGCUCUGCCGUGUGCCGGCCUGUGCUUGGAGCUGAGGAUUUGGAGGCACACCUAAUGGAGCCUCCUCCCUCCCCAGCCUGGGCUCUGCUUCCCCAUGAAUCUCAUUUCUGCCGGGGUGGGGCAGGGUGGCAGAUCAGCACUCCUGGUGCAUUACGGAGCUUUGACUCCCUGGGCACAGUAGCCACAGUCUGUGCCAGGCCACCCCGGGCCUGUGGGAGUAUGCCGGAGCCCUCUCUCCUUCUCAUGAGCACCUCCCGCCACCCCACCCAGAACUCUGCUUCUUCUAGGAGUGCCAGAUGGGGCCUAGCAGUCUUAAAAUGCCCUUCUCUGCUCUGGCACAGUGACCCUGGAGACCCAUGCCCACCCCCUCCAACCUCUGCCCGCCUAGGUGAAUAACCUGUGCUUCAGAUGACAUCUCUGUCCCACUGAAGCUGGCUGGGGCUCCCAUGGGGUUGCUCACUGUGGUCUAAGUCAGCUUUGAUUCAGGCUGUCCCUGAAGAGGCUCCCUGUAGCAUCAGGUGAGCCGGCUGACAAAUGACAGGGUCUCAUGACUCAAUCUUAAAUCCCAAGCUUAAGUCACCAUGGGUGGGGCUUCUGACAUUUGCAGGACCACAGGUCUGGGUUCCUGCUCAACCUGCAUGAGUGACUGUUCUGUUUAAGGCCAUCUUGGAUGUUGGGGUAAACGGACCAAGGUCCCAUCGGUCCAUGUAUGAUGGUGUCCUUGAGGCUUGCCUGGUGGCAGAGGGAGUCACAGAUAAUUUUUAAUGAAGACAAAAACUGAUAGGCCCUGAGUGGAGGUAAAGGCCCAGCUUGGAGGAAGGGACAGGACCUUUGAGGAGUGAACCCAAGAUGACCUAUCAGCUUCGGGUCAUUGUUGACACAUGUCUGGCCUCCUUACCUCUCGAGGGUUCUGAAGAUGCCCAGCUGCUGCAAUGAAGCUUUUCUUCCUUGGAUGACCCCAUUAUCUAAGUGAGGUUCAGGGCAGUUCCAGUUCUCAUUUCCUCUGCGGUGGCUGCUACAUGAACGCCAGUUGGGCUGAGUAGAAGCCUACACCACAGACAUCUCGGGGGUAGUGCCAGCAGCAGGUGGACACCCCUGUCUGUCCUCAGCCCCGGCAUGCCCGGCAUGACACGGCCUUGGCAUAUCAGUAGCUGGAUUCCUCUGAGCCAUGGCUAGCUCCACACCACCAAGUGGCUGCACAGAGUCCCCAUGUGAGAGUGUUGGGAGUGAUGAAUGUGUAAUGUGUCAACAGAUACUUGCUGAGAUUCUUCAUUCACAAAAGCGCACAUCAGUUCUCUCACUGGCCCAAGGUUGCAUGCCAUCUGUAAAUCCCUUUCUGUGGAUGGUGACAGCCAGAUUGGAAGUGGGUAGGAGGAUCUGGAAAGACUGCAAAAUAGAUCACUGCACCCAGACAAGGCUUCGCGGUGGGUUUCAGAAUAGCACUCUGGUUCUCGUGGAACUUCUGAAGUGUUUUCUAAGAAAGGCAAAGAAGGAGAAUCCCAUUCCUGGAACACUGUGAAAACCUAAACCUGGUGGCUUCAUACAGGAUAACAAGGGAGCUUUACAGGAUGGUCCAGUUGGAGGGGACCCAUGUUUUUGCAGAUGAGGAAACUGGAGCUAGGGGUCCUUCUGGAAAAUGGCCGUAGUCAGUGGAUGAAUCUAGGAAAGAACGCAGGGCGCAUGCUAAGGUCCUCUAGGGCUUGCACAUGAGGCUCAGCCCCAUGAAAAUGGCAAGAAGUGCUUCUGUCCUCCGGCCUUCCCUCCAUGUGCCAUGUCAGAAGGCACAAAGCCCGAGUCCUUCAGGUGGAAGGGGCGGUGCUCCGAUUUCCUCUUAGUUGGGGUUCUUUGGGAAGCAGAACCUGAAGAGGCUUCGAGCGUAUCUAAUUUAUUUGGGAAAUGAUCUCAGCAGUAGUGGGGAAGGAAGAUAGUAAGGUGGCAUUGUCAAGUUUCCAUGAUUGUGGACACUGGGACAUCACCACUGGGAGGCCUGGGAGACACCUCAGAAGCAGCCCAGUGCGGGGGACAGGGGUGGAAAGUGAGCCUUUAUUCACCAAGCCCAUCACUGGUGGAAGGCUGUUUUUCGGGACAGUUUCUGAUCAUCCCUGAGUACACCUGAGCACACUUGGCCAUCUAGGAAGUCCUUGGGCAGAGACAGAUGUUCUUAGUAAACAAACUUGGCAUGAAAGGCAGGCACUGGAACCACCUGACUUGCUGGUUCACACACGAAUUACAGCAUUCUGCAGCCUGCGUCCGUCCCUGACCCAGUGGAUCGGGACUGAGGCCUGAGCCUUUGCAUUUCCAACACACAAGGUGAUAUUGGUGCAGCUGAUUGUCUUUGAGAGUUUUUGUCAUUUAUUGGUGGCUUCCCCCCACCCUCUGUUUUAUGAUGAAGUCUUCAUACCCUUUUCGUGUCGUAGUUCCCAGGGUCCAUGCUGUGAAUUCAAAAACAGAGGAUUAAUAAGCACUUAGAAACUCCACGCAACCAUUGCUGGUAGAUAAAAACACCAUCUGCCAGCCACGAUUUAUUUAUAAUGGGGUUUACACAUAUUUAUAAAGUUUGCAAGCAACAAAUGCACAGUUUUAAAACUGGCAUCUUUUAUAGCAGUCAAAAAAAUUGCAACUUUAUACCAGGACCUGUGAAUGUGAAUUGCACAUGUAUAUUCACAUGUGUAGAUACUUGUGUUGGUUUAAACAGAUAUGCCUUUGUGUGUGCCUGUGUGUGUGUGUGUGUGUGCACCCACGUGCAGGUGGGUUCUCUGCUGAGCACCAUCAGAUUUCUCCCUGGGGUUUGUAACUCAUAGACAACUUUGGUGGCAACCUAGCACACAAGGAGCAGGAACAAAACACCAGGACAGUGGGGUGGGAGGAUGCCACUAUGGACCAUGACAGAGGGACAAGAGGGAAGAGAAGACAGCGAGGGAAGCCUGAGGAGGGAGAUGGCAGAAGUAGGACGAAAGGAAAGAGGAGAGGGAAGGCAAAGCAAGUGCAGACUCACAGGGCUCCCUGCAGUGCCACCGGAGGCUGUCCCCAUGGCGGGCUGCUUUGGAAUGCAGGCUGCAGCUGCAUUUGAUGGGCACAACCCCUUUUGUAAGCAGUCUUCUCACCCUCCUUGGUGCAUGAAUUCCUAGGUGGCAGGCCCUGCACUGGGCUUGUGGAAUAGAGAAGGAAAUAUACAGAGUUUCUGCCUGAGUUUCUAAUCCAGUGGGAAGUCAGCAUGGGGUACCCAUGUGCACACACGUGCACACAUGCACACACGCACACACACACACACGAGGGUGUUGGAGUAUGACCAGCCUUGCAAUACUGGUGCAUCCAAGUUCAACAGGACCUGGUCAGUCUGGGGCUGCUGGGAAGGCUUGGCCCACUGGGCAUUGACAUGGAAUGUCAGAAGACACUUGCAUCAGUGUUGGAAGGCAGGAGAGAAGAGAGGCUCAGGACUCCCCUGGUGCAGGUGAGACACUGGCAUCAGAGGAUGGGAGGGGAGGGGAGGGGCUCCUAGUCUCCCUUCUUUCUUCCUCACAGUGAUCUCAGAUGCCCUGAAUAAGUGAAUCCCGGAUGUAAAAUGCAUAGGUGUUUCCCCAGGGCCUGGAGAAAGAUUUUCACAGAAAAAAACCACAGGAAAUGAAACAAUCCUGUGUUCAAGUAUCUAUUUGAUUGUCUCACCUUGGACUGUUGUAGAUAGAAAAAUACACACUGGGGAGUGAGACCAGUCGCUCUGAGCUUUUGAGGUCAUGAAUUCACACACAAGUAGACAUUUUUACUGCAACCAAAAUCUCUUAACCACUGAAAUCAAGCAGCAAUUAACCAAGCAGAAAUGAAUGGACAAAUCCAUCUCUGAACAAUGAGUUACAUUUUUUUUUGUAACAACUAUGUGUGAGUUGCAAGUGGAAUGUUCUGUUCAUUUGACUUUUGACUGUAACUUGUUCCAGAAUAUUGUGAAAUUCAGUAUGUGAAUGUUUCUUUGUAUUCAGAAUUAAAACAUUUGGUGUUUAAAUCCCAGGGUUAGGAGACGAUGCCAUGUAAAUUUUAAUGUAUAAUUAUAAGAUACUUAUUACUUUUUAAAAAGCAUUUGGCUGGCAAAUUAUACAUAUUGAUAAGUGAGUGAUUAUUUGAAAAAUUUGUUUCCAUUAACUUUUGUGAAGCAAAAAGAUAUUACUGUCUGGUUGUGUGGCCAAUUUGCCCUUCCGGCUCUGAGUUUGGAAAGGAAUUGGCUUCUCCAACAUCCCUGAGGAGCAGAAAUACAAAACCAAAAGUUUUCUAAUCUUUCUUCUCUGAAAAAAACCAUAAAGCCUAAGUUAAUUGGCUGUUUUGGAGAUCUGACAAUUAACAGGCAACGAUAAUUGUCUUAGGUUCCCUCCUCACCUUCAAGGAAUCCACUUAACUUCUUCAGGAAACCAUGCGGUUUCCAGUUAGACUACAUCACCACGCAGCGUCUGUCGCUUGCCUGUGCUUCUGGGCUCUCCAGGCGUAGGAUAUGGCGCAGCAGCCUGGGUAUCAUCACUAUGACCCCAGAGUGCAAGGUGACACACCUAAUUCAGGCGGCUCUGCACUUCUCGUUAUAAUUGGUUAUCAGAAAACGUGCCUUUCUUAUUGGGAUAGUGGUAUGUGCAUUUCUGAUUAUGCAGCAACCCCUUUGAAUAUUUGACUUAGAUACUAAAAACAUUUGGGCAUCGAGGUUUUGCACUUGUAGAUACAAUUUAAAAGCAUGGAACUGCCAAUGUAAUUAGACGUUUUCUAUAAAAUGCACCUUGUUAUAUUUCUGUGAAAGGCUUGUAACCAGCGCAGAGUAACUAUGGCUGAAGGGUUGAGUGAAACAACCAUUUUUUAAAAUAGUUCAUUGUUUCAAUGACUAUCAAUGUAAGUCCGCUGGCAAUAAAGGCUAUUGAGAAAAGUCUCUUUCAUUUGGAUGAUGGAUCUUGUACUGCCUCAUAAAAGAGAGGAGGGCAACUUGGAAC
rnacentral:lncRNA from 1 species